GACGAACGCUGGCGGCGUGCUUAACACAUGCAAGUCGAACGGAAAGGCCCCUUUGGGGGUCCUCGAGUGGCGAACGGGUGAGUAACACGUGAGUAACCUGCCCUUGACUUCGGGAUAACUUCAGGAAACUGGGGCUAAUACCGGAUAGGAAUCCUUGCUGCAUGGUGGGGGUUGGAAAGCUUCGGCGGUUUUGGAUGGACUCGCGGCUUAUCAGCUUGUUGGUGGGGUAGUGGCUUACCAAGGCUUUGACGGGUAGCCGGCCUGAGAGGGCGACCGGCCACAUUGGGACUGAGAGAAGGCCCAGACGCCGACGGGAGGCAGCAGUGGGGAAUAUUGCACAAUGGGCGGAAGCCUGAUGCAGCAACGCCGCGGGCGGGAGGACGGCCUUCGGGUUGUAAACCGCUUUCAGCAGGGGCGAAGCUUGUGGUGACGGUACCUGCAGAAGAAGCACCGGCUAACUACGUG
rnacentral:rRNA from 1 species